GGGAUAGACUGAACUGGAAUCUUCAGGUCAUAUAUCAGCUUGAUGAUUUUCCUGUCAAGAAAUAUUGUUCACAAAAAGAUGGCACAGGAGUUGUUACCUGAUUUUGCACCCUGCCGCUCCAUGGAAGACCUGGACACAAAGCCAACAAUAUUGCAAACAAGAGAAUGCUGAUUUGGCUGUCAUUGGCAGCCAAGAGGAACAGGAAUUCAUUAGUAACCACACUCAACACUACUAUGAUGAACAUCAUGGGUACUGGAUC